rnacentral:rRNA from 1 species
CCUACGGGGCGCAGCAGUGGGGAAUAUUGGACAAUGGGCGAAAGCCUGAUCCAGCCAUGCCGCGUGUGUGAAGAAGGCCUUCGGGUUGUAAAGCACUUUCAGUGGGGAAGAAAGCCUUGGGGCUAAUACCCUCGAGGAAGGACAUCACCCACAGAAGAAGCACCGGCUAACUCCGUGCCAGCAGCCGCGGUAAUACGGAGGGUGCGAGCGUUAAUCGGAAUUACUGGGCGUAAAGCGCGCGUAGGCGGUCUGAUAAGCCGGUUGUGAAAGCCCCGGGCUCAACCUGGGAACGGCAUCCGGAACUGUCAGGCUAGAGUGCAGGAGAGGAAGGUAAAAUGCCCGGUGUAGCGGUGAAAUGAGUAGAGAUCGGGAGGAAUACCAGUGGCGAAGGCGGCCUUCUGGACUGACACUGACGCUGAGGUGCGAAAGCGUGGGUAGCAAACAGGAUUAGAUACCCCAGUAGUC